rnacentral:rRNA from 1 species
UACGUAGGGUGCAAGCGUUGUCCGGAAUUAUUGGGCGUAAAGAGCUCGUAGGCGGUCUGUCGCGUCUGCUGUGAAAAUCCAGGGCUCAACCCUGGACCUGCAGUGGGUACGGGCAGACUAGAGUGCGGUAGGGGAGAUCGGAAUUCCUGGUGUAGCGGUGAAAUGCGCAGAUAUCAGGAGGAACACCGGUGGCGAAGGCGGUGAUCUGGGCCGACACUGACGCUGUAGAGCGAAAGCGUGGGGAGCAAACAGG